rnacentral:rRNA from 1 species
UACGUAGGGGGCAAGCGUUAUCCGGAAUUACUGGGUGUAAAGGGAGCGUAGACGGUUAAGUAAGUCUGGAGUGAAAGGCCGGGGCCCAACCCCGGGACUGCUCUGGAAACUAUUUAACUUGAGUGCAGGAGAGGUAAGCGGAAUUCCUAGUGUAGCGGUGAAAUGCGUAGAUAUUAGGAGGAACACCAGUGGCGAAGGCGGCUUACUGGACUGUAACUGACGUUGAGGCUCGAAAGCGUGGGGAGCAA